rnacentral:snRNA from 1 species
AAUCGCUUCGGCGGUCCAUAUACUACAAUUGGAACGAUACAGAGAAGAUUAGCAUGGCCCCUACGCAAGGAUGACACGCAAAAUCGUGAAGCGUUCCGCCUCGCA